rnacentral:rRNA from 1 species
CGGGCGGGUGAGUAAUGUCUGGGAAACUGCCUGAUGGAGGGGGAUAACUACUGGAAACGGUAGCUAAUACCGCAUAACGUCGCAAGACCAAAGAGGGGGACCUUGGGCCUCUUGCCAUCGGAUGUGCCCAGAUGGGAUUAGCUGUUGGUGGGGUAAAGGCUCACCUAGGCGACGAUCCCUAGCUGGUCUGAGAGGAUGACCAGCCACACUGGAACUGAGACACGGUCCAG